rnacentral:lncRNA from 1 species
UUUUUUUUUUUUAAUAAGCACAGGGUUUCACUAUGUUGCCCAGGCUAGUCUUGAACUCCUAAGCUCAAGCCAUCCACCCACCUCAGCCUCCGAAAGUGCUAGGAUUACAGGCGUGAGCCACCACACCCAGCCAUAUAUCCUGCAGUUUUGUUACUUAUUACUUCUAGAGUUGAGUGUUUUGUUUUUGUUUUUGUUGUUGUUGUUGUUUUGUUGUUGUUGUGUUGUUUUGUUUUGUUUUUGAGACAAAGUCACGCUCUGUUGCCCAGGCUGGAGUUCAGUGGCUCAUUCUCGGCUCACUGCAAGCUCCG